CCUACGGGAGGCUGCAGUAGGGGAUAUUGCACAAUGGGGGAAACCCUGAUGCAGCGACGCCGCGUGAAGGAUGACGGUUUUAGGGUUGUAAAGUCCUUUUGCGAGAGAAGAUAAUGACGGUGUCCCGCGAAUAAGCACCGGCUAACUACGUGCCAGCAGCCGCGGUAAUACGGAGGGAGCAAGCGUUGCUCGGAAUCACUGGGCGUAAAGGGUGCGCAGGCGGGCGGGUAAGUUUGAUGUGAAAUCCUGUGGCUUAACUACAUAACUGCGUUUGAACCUGUUCUUCUAGAGUGUGGGAGAGGUAGGUGGAAUUCUUGGUGUAGCGGUGAAAUGCGUAGAUAUCAAGAGGAAUACUCGUUGCGAAGGCGACCUACUGGACUAUUACUGACGCUGAGGCACGAAAGCGUGGGGAGCAAACAGGAUUAGAUACCCCUGUAGUC
rnacentral:rRNA from 1 species